AACGAACGCUGGCGGCAUGCCUAACACAUGCAAGUCGAACGAUCCCUUCGGGGAUAGUGGCGCACGGGUGCGUAACGCGUGGGAACCUACCCUUAGGUUCGGAAUCACUCAGAGAAAUUUGAGCUAAUACCGGAUAAUGUCUUCGGACCAAAGAUUUAUCGCCGUUGGAUGGGCCCGCGUUGGAUUAGCUAGUUGGUGGGGUAAAGGCCUACCAAGGCGACGAUCCAUAGCUGGUCUGAGAGGAUGACCAGCCACACUGGGACUGAGACACGGCCCAGACUCCUACGGGAGGCAGCAGUGGGGAAUAUUGGACAAGGGGCGAAAGCCUGAUCCAGCAAUGCCGCGUGAGUGAUGAAGGCCUUAGGGUUGUAAAGCUCUUUUACACGGGAUGAUAAUGACAGUACCGGGAGAAUAAGCCCCGGCUAACUCCGUG
rnacentral:rRNA from 1 species